rnacentral:rRNA from 1 species
AGUGAACGCUGGCGGUAGGCCUAACACAUGCAAGUCGAACGGCAGCACAGUAAGAGCUUGCUCUUACGGGUGGCGAGUGGCGGACGGGUGAGGAAUACAUCGGAAUCUACUUUUUCGUGGGGGAUAACGUAGGGAAACUUACGCUAAUACCGCAUACGACCUACGGGUGAAAGCAGGGGAUCUUCGGACCUUACGCGAUUGAAUGAGCCGAUGUCGGAUUAGCUAGUUGGCGGGGUAAAGGCCCACCAAGGCGACGAUCCGUAGCUGGUCUGAGAGGAUGAUCAGCCACACUGGAACUGAGACACGGUCCAGACUCCUACGGGAGGCAGCAGUGGGGAAUAUUGGACAAUGGGCGCAAGCCUGAUCCAGCCAUACCGCGUGGGUGAAGAAGGCCUUCGGGUUGUAAAGCCCUUUUGCUGGGAAAGAAAAGCAGCAGGUUAAUACCCCGCUGUUCUGACGGUACCCAAAGAAUAAGCACCGGCUAACUUCGUG